rnacentral:rRNA from 1 species
AUUGAACGCUGGCGGCAGGCCUAACACAUGCAAGUCGAGCGGAUGAAGGGAGCUUGCUCCUGGAUUCAGCGGCGGACGGGUGAGUAAUGCCUAGGAAUCUGCCUGGUAGUGGGGGAUAACGUCCGGAAACGGGCGCUAAUACCGCAUACGUCCUGAGGGAGAAAGUGGGGGAUCUUCGGACCUCACGCUCUCAGAUGAGCCUAGGUCGGAUUAGCUAGUUGGUGGGGUAAAGGCCUACCAAGGCGACGAUCCGUAACUGGUCUGAGAGGAUGAUCAGUCACACGGGAACUGGGACACGGUCAAGACGCCUAAGGGAGGCAGCAGUCGGGAAUAUUGGACAAUGGGCGAAAGCCUGAUCCAGCCAGGCCGAGUGUGUGAAGAAGGUCUUCGGAUUGUAAAGCACGUUAAGUUGGGAGGAAGGGCAGUAAGUUAAUACCUUGCUGUUUUGACGUUACCAACAGAAUAAGCACCGGCUAACUUCGUG